rnacentral:rRNA from 1 species
UGGUGGAGUGAUUUGUCUGGUUAAUUCCGUUAACGAACGAGACCUCGACCUGCUAAAUAGACCCGGGAAUCCAUCUGGAUUCCUCGGGGACUUCUUAGAGGGACUAUCGGUGUGUAGCCGAUGGAAGUUCGAGGCAAUAACA